AUGACAACGAUGAUGAUAAGAAGUAGCUUUCCCGUGCUAAGCUUUUAACAUCCUGUGCCAUGUAAUCUGCACAGCAACCCCAUGAGGAAGAACUACGGUGAUGCCCAUAUCACAGAUGCCCACGCUGAGGCGCAGAGGUGCUGAAUGCUGUGGCUGCACAGGGAACCAAGAUUAAAGCCAAGCAACGGGACUGGGCUCUGGACUUGCAGAACAGGAGUGCACAAGCUCAUAACACGAAUCAGCACGUACUUUAUGCCACAUCACUGGAAUGCAGCACUGCUUGCAAGGAAAAGGAUGACUUCAACACAGCUGAGGCCAGAGAGGAGGGGGCAGGACCAAGGGAGGACUGGCUCCUCCUAGAGCAGAAAGGAAGUCAUUUUUCACUAGCACAUGAAGUUGUUAUCUACUUUGAAGCCAGCUGUUUGAGCGAGCGCGUGACUCUCGUGGAUGUGUGUGAGCAGACCUGCUCUGUUGGUUGCAGUCUCUAAGCUUUACCUUCUUAGCCCCUAGAAGACAAGUUCUUCCAUUUCAGGUCACCUGCCACCAAGGCCCCCAGUUCCUGGGCUGUCUGUGUCCAGUGAAGGAGACUCCAGAAGAAAUUUGACUGUUCGUGAGCCCUGAUCUGGAACAGAGAGGAGGAAAGGUCUUUUCCUUCACCUCCCCCACCACCACCACUUAAAGUCCUCACACCUCCUCUGCAGUUUUUGGCAGACCUUUCAGGAAAUAUUAAGUUAGACUAAAAAUUCAGAGGUCUCAGUAACAUUCGGGGCUAAUUUAAAACAUCCAGCAUACUACAAAUUCAACAUAGAAUUAUUUAAACAUUGGUUCUACUUAUUUUAGCAAGACAGCAGCUGCCUAGAAUCAGAAUUGAGAACAAAUAAAUAAGAGUGAAACGAGGAUGGAUUUUCGCAGGAGCUAAAAUUAAAAUGUCUUGUGUGAUGAGUGCAUUUCAACAGCCACAAAGCACCUCAACGCGCACAAACAGUGACUCAAAGGAGGGUCAAAAGGUAUCACUGCCUGCUUGGCCUCCCCCAUAGCAAAUGAGACACUGAAGGCCUGGGUGGCAACUAUGUGCUUCCUCUUUGGGUGCACAUUUAGCCUGUCUCUGCAGGACAGAUUUGGAACAAAAGAAAAGGAAGUGGAAAGAACAACUUCAUCUUCAGAUGUAAUUCCAACCAAACUGGGAAUUUGAGGGGUCUUCUAUUGGUCACACUCUAUCUUCUUUUGCUUUUGGGGGUGUUUGUUUACCUUCAUGCAAAUAUACUAAGAAGUCAGAACUGCAGACAUUUUAGAGCCAGGAAUUCUCUCGUGCCCAAAAGCCACUCCCAUCCACACAGGACACUUCUGUUUCAUCUCAGCAUUGAUUAUAUUCUUUGCGAGCCACUAAGCUGUGACGAAAUGUGUGCUUUCCUGAGACAACAUGUAAGCAUUUCAUAAAGGAGCCCCCAGUACUCAUGAACUAUUUUCAGACACAGUAUUUAUGAAACUAUUAAAAACUCAUUCCUCUUGCCAUCUUUUUAUAAGUUGAAAAGCAAGCAUAGGUUAUUUAUAUCAUUUCCCUAGAGACACUAGUAAUUUUGGUCUGGAAGAUAUUUGCAUUUAAGAUACAUCAUGCAGCUGGCAUCAGUGUUUUGUUUUGUUUUGUUGACUUGUAUUUGUACACUCAUCUAUUGGUAGCAAUUCUAUUAGCUCUUUUAAAGGGUUAGGUAGAGGAAACAUAGAAAUAUAUCAUGCCUCUACGUCAAAAUAUGAAGAACAAAAAAAAGAUAAUAGGAAAUAAGGAGAUAGGAAGGGAAGGGAGGAGAAGAAAAGGAAAUGAAGUGAGAAUUGAGAUGUGUUAUUAUGUGUACCAGCUCCCCACAAGGAAUGUAAUCAUUAUGUGAAACCAGCAUGCACCAAUGAAAAAGAAAAAAAUACAGCUGAAAAAUUUUGUGCUUUGAAGUGAGACUGAGACAAUCUCUGAAGAAAGCUGAGUAGACAUGCACUGUCUCUCCACUAAGGAGGAAAACGAGACCUCAGAACAAAAAUUAUCCUGAAUCUUCCCCUUCUGUAAAAAGACAGACUUCCCUUUUUGAGUGGAAUAAGUGGAGAAUGUGUUAGAACUGACUUGCAUGUGCCAGAGAGAGAACCCUGUGCCUCCAAUGUCCACCCUGGAUCUGAGAGCCCCAGUGUUGGGUGUGAAGUGAGAACCUGUGUUGCUUUCUGGCUGUGCAUUUCGAGUGGACGCACUUGGCAUGGGGCGGGGGUGCUGGCCAUUUGGGAGGAUUGAAUGAAGCUGGUUUCCUUCUCUAUAGAACCACCACCAGUUCCAUCAUUUUCUCCGGAGGCUGCUGCCUGAGAGCAGGUUUUAGACGUGAAGGCCUUUGAGGCCUCUCCCAGGUCAGCUCCUUUCCAGCCUCACCCAGUGCCUCAUGUCCUCCUGCCCCCUCCACGGCCGUCCCAACGGAGGACCCUGCCUGCCUGGGACACCUGCUGUGCCUUGGGAUGCUUAUCCUCUUCCCCCAUUCAGCCGCUUCCUCCGGAAAGCCCGCCAGGCCUCCCGGGCAUGCAGCCCUACAGCACAUACGCACUGCAGGAAAGCUGAAAAUUGGUCAAAC
ensembl:lncRNA